rnacentral:lncRNA from 1 species
UUUAACAGCUCCUUGAAAAACAAUAAAUAUAUCUAUAAGAGAGAGAGAGAGAGAGAGAGAGAGAGAGAGAGAGCAAUAUGAAAAGGACACUAAGUAAAGGCUAUUAGAUGAUUUAAUCGAAAUUGGAUGAAAAUUUAACAGCUCCUUGAAAAACAAUAUAUAUCUAUAUGAGAGAGAGAGAGAGAGAGAGAGAGAGAAA